rfam:Triticum aestivum genome assembly, contig: Triticum_aestivum_CS42_TGACv1_scaffold_289248_4AL
AUAGUACUCCCUCCGUCCAGAAAUACUUGUUGAAGAAAUGCGUAAAAAUAGAUGUAUCUAGAACUAAAAUACAUCUAGAUACAUCCAUUCCUCCGACAAGUAUUUUCAGGCGGAGGGAGUAGUGA